rnacentral:rRNA from 1 species
UACAGAGGGUGCAAGCGUUUAAUCGGAAUUACUGGGCGUAAAGCGUGCGCAGACGGUUGCGUAAGUCAGAUGUGAAAGCCCCGGGCUCAACCUGGGAAUUGCAUUUGAGACUGCGUAGCUAGGGUGCGGAAGAGGGAAGCGGAAUUUCCGGUGUAGCGGUGAAAUGCGUAGAUAUCGGAAGGAACACCAGUGGCGAAAGCGGCUUCCUGGUCCAGCACCGACGUCAGGCACGAAAGCGUGGGGAGCAAACAGG